rnacentral:rRNA from 1 species
GAUGAACGCUGGCGGCGUGCCUAAUACAUGCAAGUCGAGCGAACAGAUAAGGAGCUUGCUCCUUUGACGUUAACGGCGGACGGGUGAGUAACACGUGGAUAACCUACCUAUAAGACUGGGAUAACUUCGGGAAACCGGAGCUAAUACCGGAUAACAUAUUGAACCGCAUGGUUCAAUAGUGAAAGGCGGCUUUGCUGUCACUUAUAGAUGGAUCCGCGCCGUAUUAGCUAGUUGGUAAGGUAACGGCUUACCAAGGCAACGAUACGUAGCCGACCUGAGAGGGUGAUCGGCCACAAUGGAACUGAGACACGGUCCAGACUCCUACGGGAGGCAGCAGUAGGGAAUCUUCCGCAAUGGGCGAAAGCCUGACGGAGCAACGCCGCGUGAGUGAUGAAGGUCUUCGGAUCGUAAAACUCUGUUAUCAGGGAAGAACAAAUGUGUAAGUAACUGUGCACAUCUUGACGGUACCUGAUCAGAAAGCCACGGCUAACUACGUG